CUUCAUGUUCCAGCAAUCCAAACAACCCUCAUAAGAAAAUUUGCCAACGGCUUCUCUCUUAGGUUCGUUGCAAACAAGCCAUUAUCAUCAACAACUCCUGCUACUUCACUAGCUUCUUCUUUGGUGAAUUCCACAAAGAUCAAAGUAGGACAGGCAAUUCAGAAACAUUGUCAUCUUGUACGGGCAAUUGAUGUAAGGUUGUGUUUUAGAGGUGGAGACAUGGGGAAAGGCCCAAGGAUUAGAAAGAGGAAGAUGCUGAGAAAUCUAAGCAAGUAUUGAUUUGGUGUCGUCAACUAUUCAACAAGUUGAGGAAGAUUAAGGACAAGGAGUCCGAUCAUGGUAGACACAUGAAAGGAUUUAAUAAGUUGAAGGUUAGGGAGCCAAUGUCACAAGUGGUGGAGAAUGUUGCAGAUACAGUUUCACAGCGAAAAGAUGACGACAAUCUUGAUGAGGCUGUUCACACAAAGUACUUUGACAUGCCACCUCUGACUGUCCAUGAAGCAAUUGUGCGGCUGGGAAAUGUGGAUCAUGCCUUCUACGGUUUCGGGCAUGCUGAAGGGGAAAGAUACAGAAUUUGAGAUCAAGUGAACUCAAACUAAUGAGAUGUAUUAACAUGCUUGUAUGAGUUCUUAGUUUAUGGAAAAUCAGAGCCACUAUUAUGUUGGCGUCCAAACUUACCGGGAUGAGAAAAAAGAAUUUUGGAAUCACUAUUCAGUUUAUAUUAGAUCGAAACUUCUGUUCA